GAUGAACGCUGACAGAAUGCUUAACACAUGCAAGUCUUUGGCGAAGCUGUGCUUGCACAGCCUAGCCAAGGCGGACGGGUGAGUAACGCGUAAGGAACUUGCCCUGCAGUCAGGGAUAACAGACGGAAACGACUGAUAAGACCUGGUAAAGUCAGGCGGACUCAUGUCCAGCCUGAUGAAAAGAGAUGCUGCAGGAGAGCCUUGCGUCCUAUUAGCUUGUUGGUGGGGUAACGGCCCACCAAGGCGAUGAUAGGUAGCCGGCCUGAGAGGGUGGACGGCCACAAGGGGACUGGGAUACGGCACUUACUCCUACGGGAGGCAGCGGUGGGGAAUAUUGGACAAUGGGGGCAACCCUGAUCCAGCAAUUCUGUGUGCACGAUGAAGGUUUUCGGAUUGAAAAGUGCUUUCAGCAGGGAAGAAAAAAAUGACGGUACCUGCAGAAGAAGCGACGGCUAAAUACGUG
rnacentral:rRNA from 1 species